UGGGGAAUAUUGGACAAUGGGGGGAACCCUGAUCCAGCCAUGCCGCGUGUGUGAAGAAGGCCUUAUGGUUGUAAAGCACUUUAAGCGAGGAGGAGGGUACUGGUAUUAAUACUACCAGCUACUGGACGUUACUCGCAGAAUAAGCACCGGCUAACGCUGUGCCAGCAGCCGCGGUAAUACAGAGGGUGCGAGCGUUAAUCGGAUUUACUGGGCGUAAAGCGUGCGUAGGCGGCUGAUUAAGUCGGAUGUGAAAUCCCUGAGCUUAACUUAGGAAUUGCAUUCGAUACUGGUCAGCUAGAGUAUGGGAGAGGAUGGUAGAAUUCCAGGUGUAGCGGUGAAAUGCGUAGAGAUCUGGAGGAAUACCGAUGGCGAAGGCAGCCAUCUGGCCUAAUACUGACGCUGAGGUACGAAAGCAUGGGGAGCAAACAGG
rnacentral:rRNA from 1 species